ACACGUAGGGGGCGAGCGUUGUCCGGAAUUACUGGGCGUAAAGGGCGCGUAGGCGGCCUAAUAAGUCUGAUGUGAAACCCCUGGGCUUAACCCUGGGCUGGCAUUAGAAACUGUUAGGCUUGAGGACAGGAGAGGAAAGCGGAAUUCUCAGUGUAGCGGUGAAAUGCGUAGAUAUUGGGAAGAACACCAGUGGCGAAGGCGGCUUUCUGGACUGCCCCUGACGCUGAGGCGCGAAAGCCAGGGUAGCGAACGGGAUUAGAUACCCCGGUAGUCCUGGCCGUAAACGAUGGAUACUAGGUGUGGGAGGUAUCGACCCCUUCCGUGCCGCAGUUAACACAUUAAGUAUCCCGCCUGGGGAGUACGGCCGCAAGGCUGAA
rnacentral:rRNA from 1 species